rnacentral:misc_RNA from 1 species
GGUAAUUUAUCAUUAGAGAAUAACCAAGUUUCCUGCUGCUGUGAAAAGGUAAAUUGGCUAAUCCUAAAACUUGCCUCUAGCCCAGCUUUCGCUGGUCCAUUUACAGCCCUAGCUGUGCAAAGGUUUGAUGCACGAAUGGAAUGCAAAAGGAAUAAUUCACAAACUUUUCAUAUACAAAGCACUAUUAUCAGUUUCAUUUACAUGAAAUCAACUGAGUUGUAUAUACUCAAUUUACUGGAGAAAGUAAAAAACCAGUAUACAAUAUUCAUCAAGAUUCUAGAAUCACUAUCAAGCAGCUAUUCUUCCUUCCUUUUUACUUCUAAUGCAAUCUCAUUACGACGCGUAAAUGGAAGAGUAAAAGGGGGAUUGAACUGUGCAACUUCUGGUGAAGCACCCUCUUUUACUCUAAACUGCAUGUCAUUUUUCAAAGCAUUUCUUAACUUCAGCUCCCGUUGUUUAACAUCUUCAUCAGUAACAAAACCUGAAAACACAGCAACUGCAACAACUUUCCUUGGCACCUCUUUUAUCUUCACUGUUGGAUCUUUAGGCAGUGGCAAAUUGGCACCAUACUUGGAGGGCAUGACAAAGGACAUCUGCCAUUUAUCCUGAUCUUCCAUCUUCUUUGUUAUCACAGGUGUUGUCAUUUCCAUUCUCUCUCCAACAGAUUGAGCCUUACGUGUGAAAACAGGUGUACUCAUUUCCAUCUUCUCCUUAGUUGUAUUCUUACCAAACAAGUACUCAGCUAAGACAUUGAAGGAUUGAGAUGCACCACUGAAAUCAAAUCCAGUCUUCCCUGGCAUUGUUGUCUCCGCUAUAAAGUAAGGCUCAACUUCUCUGAUUUCAUACUGGUCUCUUCUACUCAAUACUUUAUACUCCACCGUUUCAAGAUCAGGAACGGCCAUCAGUGCUUCCUCCAAAUUCCGGCUCUCGAACCUCUUCGGGAACACGUAUUUCGCAGUUUCAUUCGUCAAAUCGACCAAAAGUCGCUGAGAGACAUUGGAGGCCUGAGAAACGAGGGCGAAGACAAGAGAGACGCGAGCUUCGAAGGCAGACGACAUGGCUCUCCUCGGCGGUGCGGAUGUGGAGGUGGCGGUUGCCCUGUCAGUGGCCAUGGAUUUGACAACGGUGUUGAAUAAUGGUCUGUUAGGGUUUAUAGAAGAGGCGAUGAGGAUUUUCGGCGGAGAAUGAACCAUCAGUGAAGGCCUGCAGUUGCAGAGAAGCAUCUUGUUUCGGGUUAUUUGCCUCCCGAAGUAUCUCAGGUUUUAAAU